rnacentral:rRNA from 1 species
AAAGGACUUGGCGGUGCAUUAAUUCACCCAGGGGAACCUGGCCCUUAAAUCGAUGAUCCGCGAACUUCUUACCUUCUCUUGUAUAAGUUUUCCUUUAGGGGGAACUUAUGUCAGUUUGCAUACCGCCGUUUUCAGCUUGUAUCGCGAGGUAAAAGAAACAGGCUAUUCAGUAAGUGAACGUUUGUCUGCGCAGGUGAAAUUUAUGUUUUACCAGGGGGCAAUGGGACUGCUAGGAAUUCAGGUAAAAGUGCAGCCUAUGGGAAGGGGGCAGCUGGGUUACAGUUGGUGUUUGAAUUGGAAUGUAGUCCGAAGUGGCUGUGUGAAAGAGUACUUGGAAGUAAUGACUUUAGGCAAUGGAGUCGUGAAUGGUGCUCUAGUGUGUGUACAAAU